rnacentral:lncRNA from 1 species
GAACAGUCAUUUAAACUACUCUCACAUGCUUCCUCCACCAAAGAAGAAGAAAACCAAUCUUCCCAAUCAUAAUCGUCUCAAUCAAUGAAUCAGAUCAUAACCCUUCACUUGAUAGGUAACAAAAAGAGUUAAUAUCAGAAGGAAGUACCUCGACAAGUACACGGAAAUAGAUCAAUCCAAACUCACUCAUAGAAGAAGCCAAUUCCUUAACUUUCCCCCAGUAACGUCCAUCCAAAGGCGAUAAU